CUACCGCAUUACCCUCCGGCUCCGCCGACCCUUUUACCGCCUGUCGUAUCCCCACUACCGUCUCCGUAUCCUCCGCCGCACCGCCACCAACAUCCUUACCCUCCGCAGACGCCUCCGCAUGGCUUGCCGCAUUACCCUCCACCUACCUACAAAUCCUCUCCUCCCCCAUCCCACGUCUCCUACUCCAACUCUCCGCCUCCACCGACACCGGUUUACGCAAUUCCGCCUCCGCAUGGCCUGCCGCAUUACCCUCCACCUACCUACAAAUCCUCUCCUCCCCCAUCCCACGUCUCCUACUCCAACUCUCCGCCUCCACCGACACCGGUUUACGCAAUUCCGCCUCCGCAUGGCCUGCCGCAUUACCCUCCACCUACCUACAAAUCCUCUCCUCCCCCAUCCCACGUCUCCUACUCCAACUCUCCGCCUCCACCGACACCGGUUUACGCAAUUCCGCCUCCGCAUGGCCUGCCGCAUUACCCUCCACCUACCUACAAAUCCUCUCCUCCCCCAUCCCACGUCUCCUACUCCAACUCUCCGCCUCCACCGACACCGGUUUACGCAAUUCCGCCUCCGCAUGGCCUGCCGCAUUACCCUCCACCUACCUACAAAUCCUCUCCUCCCCCAUCCCACGUCUCCUACUCCAACUCUCCGCCUCCACCGACACCGGUUUACGCAAUUCCGCCUCCGCAUGGCCUGCCGCAUUACCCUCCACCUACCUACAAAUCCUCUCCUCCCCCAUCCCACGUCUCCUACUCCAACUCUCCGCCUCCACCGACACCGGUUUACGCAAUUCCGCCUCCGCAUGGCCUGCCGCAUUACCCUCCUCCUACCUACAAAUCCUCUCCUCCCCCAACCCACGUCUCCUACUCCAAUUCUCCGCCUCCACUGACACCGGUUCACGCAAUUCCGCCUCCACAUGGCCUGCCGCAUUACCCUCCUCCUACCUACAAAACCUCUCCUCCCCCAUCCCAUGUCUCCUACUCCAACUCUCCGCCUCCACAGACACCGGUUUACGCAAUUCCUCCUCCGCAUGGCUUGCCGCAUUACCCUCCACCUACCUACAAAUCCUCUCCUCCCCCAUCCCACUCCAACUCUCCACCAAUACCGACACCGGUUUAUGCAAUUCCACCUCCGCAUGGCCUGCCGCAUUACCCUCCUCCUACCUACAAAUCCUCUCCUCCCCCAUCCCACGUCCCCUACUCCAAUUCUCCGCCUUCACCGACACCGGUUUACGCAAUUCCGCCUUCGUCGCACCCGCAUCACAAACCAUUGCCGCCGUACCACACCAUUCCCGAGCACGCGCCGCCACCGCAGCAGCAUCACUACGGGGUACCACCGCCGCCCUACAACUAAGACCGGAAUAGAGGAAGAGCAUCAGAAAGAACAAGUUGAUUAUCUAGAAUUGUAUAACGUGUUCUUGGCUAUAUUUCGUGAAGAGUAGUGUGUGGUUCAGUACGUACGUAGUAUCCCAGAAUACGGAAUAAGAGAGGAAUGUUAAUUCGCAUUACCGAUCAGGCAUAUAAGUCCUAGAUUUGGUUUAGCCACGGUGUCUUUGUCGCGAUUGUAUCGUAAUCACUUUCUAAUGCAGCGUUUGUUUUAUAUUAUUUAA
rnacentral:lncRNA from 1 species